rnacentral:rRNA from 1 species
UACAGAGGGUGCGAGCGUUAAUCGGAAUUACUGGGCGUAAAGCGUGCGUAGACGGUUAUUUAAGUCGGGUGUGAAAGCCCCGGGCUCAACCUGGGAAUUGCAUUCGAGACUGAAUAGCUAGGGUACGGUAGAGGGAAGUGGAAUUUCCGGUGUAGCGGUGAAAUGCGUAGAUAUCGGAAGGAACAUCAGUGGCGAAAGCGACUUCCUGGACCAG